rnacentral:lncRNA from 1 species
UUAAUCAUUUGCCAUUCUUUUGGAUUGAGUUGAUCAAUUUUAGAUUAACCCUAAUCCAAUUAGGUUAGCAUAGAUUCGGUCAACCAUGACUCAAACUCUAAUCGAAUUAGAAAAAUGAUAAUUUAAUCAACCUAAAUUAAACAUAACUUCUAAUCAAAUUAGAACUAUGAAUUUGAUUUAAUCUACAAUCAUAAAUUCUAAUCACAUUAGAUUAAUAAAUUAUAGUUAAAUCAAAACCAUCGACAAAAAUCCUAAUCUAUGUUGAGGCAACCUUUUCAUGAUCAAAUUUUUUUGGCUCCACAC